rnacentral:rRNA from 2 species
AACGGUAACAGGUCUUCGGAUGCUGACGAGUGGCGAACGGGUGAGUAAUACAUCGGAACGUGCCCGAUCGUGGGGGAUAACGGAGCGAAAGCUUUGCUAAUACCGCAUACGAUCUACGGAUGAAAGCAGGGGACCGCAAGGCCUUGCGCGGACGGAGCGGCCGAUGGCAGAUUAGGUAGUUGGUGGGAUAAAAGCUUACCAAGCCGACGAUCUGUAGCUGGUCUGAGAGGACGACCAGCCACACUGGGACUGAGACACGGCCCAGACUCC